rnacentral:rRNA from 1 species
AUUGAACGCUGGCGGCAGGCCUAACACAUGCAAGUCGAGCGGAGCGGCGGACGGGUGAGUAAUGCCUAGGAAUCUGCCUGGUAGUGGGGGCUAACGUCCGGAAACGGGCGCUAAUACCGCACACUAUCAGAUGAGCCUAGGUCGGAUUAGCUAGUUGGUGGGGUAAAGGCAUACCAAGGCGACGAUCCGUAACUGGUCUGAGAGGAUGAUCAGGCAAACUGGAACGGAGACACGGUCCAGACGCCGAAGGGAGGCAUCAGUGGGGAAUAUUGGACAAGGGGCGAAAGCCUGAUCCAGCCAUGCCGCGUGGGUGAAGAAGGUCGUCGGAUUGUAAAGCACUUUAAGUUGGGAGGCGUUACCAACAGAAUAAGCACCGGCGAACUUCGUGCCAGCAGCCGCGGUAAUUC